rnacentral:rRNA from 1 species
UACGAAGGGGGCUAGCGUUGCUCGGAAUCACUGGGCGUAAAGGGUGCGUAGGCGGGUCUUAAGUCAGAGGUGAAAUCCUGGAGCUCAACUCCAGAACUGCCUUUGAUACUGAAGAUCUUGAGUUCGGGAGAGGUGAGUGGAACUGCGAGUGUAGAGGUGAAAUUCGUAGAUAUUCGCAAGAACACCAGUGGCGAAGGCGGCUCACUGGCCCGGAUACUGACGCUGAGGCACGAAAGCGUGGGGAGCAACAGG